UUUUUUAUGGCUGCUCCUGUGGCAUAUGGAAGCUCCCAGGCUAGGAGUAGAACUGGAGCUGUAGCCGCCGGCCUAUGCCACCGCCACAGCAACACCAGAUCUGAGCUGCAUCUGUGACCUACACCACAGUUCAUGGCAAUGCCAGAUUCUUAACCCACUGAGCGAGGCCAGGGAUCAAACUUGUGUCCUCGUGGAUAGUAGUUGGGUUCGUUACCGCUGAGCCACAAAGGAAUUUCCAAAGAUAUUUUUAAAAUAGCAUAACAAAAUAAAUUCUAGAAUUAUUCUAUCAAAACAAAUAGACUGAGAGUAAAUAUAUUACAAAUCAAAAUCAAUAGAGAAAAUCAAUAUGGACUAAUCAGAUUUUAGAACACAGUAUAGAGUAAUAUUAAUCAAAACAGAAUGAUAGAAGGUAUAAAAAAUGAAUUCAGAAAGUGGAACACUCUAAGGAGCUCAGAAAUAGAGCUAUUUCAUGAUACAAGCAAUUUUUCAAAAUUACGGCACAGGAAAAUAUUAAAUAAUAGUAUGAUAACUUUAUUAAAUAUUGUGGAAAAGAUUAACAGGCCCCAAACAAUGCACAAUACACUAAAAUUAACUCUAGAUGAAUUGCCGUGUUCAUUAUUUUUUUUAAAUAGAUGAAUUGCUAGAAAAUAGAGAACUCUUAUCAACCUCUAACAGCUUGAUGAUGCCAGCCUUGCCAAUUUUAUGCUCACUACUCCCUCUUCUGUUUAGGAAUUGGUUCCCCUAAGCAAGUUUGCAUUCAUAAAGGGAAUGAGCUGCUGGUUCACUUCAUUCAUUGACUGCCAGGCACUGUGCUAGGCACUUGGUUAAACAAUGUGAUGAGAAAACAAAUAUCAAGGAUCUCUUGCCCUCCAAGAGUGACAGACGCAAACAUUAUGUCAUCUUAAAUGAAGCAAUAGUGUUUCCUUGCACAUCCAUCAGGUCAGGUAAGAUUUGCACAGCACCCCCUGGAACCUCGAAUGAAUCACAUAAACACCCCAUCUCUUCACAAUCGGGGCUCAGUUACAAGAGGGAUGGUGAAGAAAGCUUUCAGGUUUUAUUUCACAUAAUUUAACAUUAAAUAUAAACUAAUUGCUAACCGAAGUCCUUUUUAAUGUGAAACUUGACGUCAACACAUACUAAAUACUGCAAGAGACUCAUUUUCAUUAAAACAUUUCUACACCACAGUUUUCCUUCCAGUUAUCGAUUUAAAGGUCUCCCUCUGCACAAUCCUUGCACUAAGCAUCAUGCAUUACUUAAUGUCAUCUGAAAUUGACAUUACCACAACUUCGGUGACAUGGCUACCCAGCCAUAAGCCUUCAUUUCUCAGCUUGUGAGUUACACACAGAGGGGAAGAGCUAGAUGCCUGGAUUUGAAACCUUACUCCAAUACUUUCUUGCUGUGCAACCUCAAGCCAGUUGCUUAACCACUCUUGCACCCCAGCAUCCUCAUCUACAAAACGAGGCUAAUACUACCUACCUUGAAAAUGCACUAUGGGAAUGGAAGAAACCAACAUAUGCAAAGCACUAAGAACAAUGUCACACAGCAAAUGACAUGUAAUAUUUCCCAAUAUUUUUACUGCUAUUGUUUUCAAAAUCAGUCGGUUUUCGUUUUCUAAAUGAGAGUAAACAUGGCGUAGUUAUCUCUGGCUCAACAUACAGCUCACUUUCAUUAAAUCAAAAAAAAAAGUGACAAUUCCCCAAACUACUAUGACACAUUGCAAUCCAUGUCUCCUCAACCCCAGCUUCAGUUCUAUGGCCAGCUAGGCAGGGACAAAGCCAGUGGGGAGAGGCCUAAAUGUCACCAGCAUUUUAAUCUGCUGAGGCUCAUGAAUACUCAGGGGUCUUGCUGCUGUCCCUAUCAAGGAAGCCAACAGGUGGGUGCUGUUCUACACCCUCUCCGUCUGUCCCCAGGCUACCCUACAAUAUGUUCCUGCCCCAUGAUCCCUACUUAACUGCUUUGUUAGGAUCUACUUGUUCAAAAGAUAAGGAAGGAGCACAGGUCUCCAGCACAUCACUUUGUAUCCUUUUCCAAGCCUGUGUCUCCCCAUGGGUUCCCACCCCCCACACAUGGUGAAGCAUCAGGAAGUUAAAACAACCAUUUCAUUCAUUAAAAGAGAUUCAGUUCUCCUUGGCAAGCUUGAUUCUUUAGGCCUGACUUGUUUUCCAAUGUGGAGGGUUUUUAUUUUUAAGCCAUGAGUUUUGUGUGUUUAAUGGAGAAUUUCCAGAUUCUUAAAGUAGAUGACACUUUAUUAAUCCAACACAGUUUACUCAUGAAAUUGUUUCUUCUUUAAGAAAAAAAAUGUAUUUCUAGGCUUAUUUAUGAUUAGAAAGAGAACUGAAAGGACCAAGAUGAAAAUGAUGCUCGAUUUCUAAUCAUUCUGAUGUUCUUUUUGCUCAAUUUGCAUGCUCAAAAAUUUUUGAUGAGCAUGUUUUACUUUUAUAAAGAAGAAAGCAAUUCUUCGAAAACCAGUGCUUUUCAAGCAGUGAGUUUGAUAGAAUGAUUUCACUUUUUAUGCAAAAAUAAAAGCCAGCUUUUCACCUAAAGCCAAUGGAUAAAAACUCAAAAAUGUCCAUGUCUCUUCUAAAAUGGUAGAAUCCCUAUUUGAUAGCAUAUUCUUUCCCACUUUUGCCAUGCCCUUUGCUUACUGUCAUGGGCCAGGCGCCCUUCAUAGCAGAAGCUGUGCAAGGACUAAAGAUACUAAGACUUUACUUGGGAGAAGCAAGCCCAAGACAAUGAGAGUAAAGGAAAAAGAGUGAGAGAGGGAGAGAAGAGGGAGGGAGAGACAGACAGGCAAAAUGAAGCUAGAAAAUAUAAAGCAAUGUGAUUUUAGGUUACCGUGCUGCUCAUCAUUUCCUAAGAAGCCACAGAGAACUGGAGGAUUUCAAGGACUACCUGCACUUAGUGGUCCAUGGAGGGAGAAAGGGAGAAUUUAUCUGCCUGUUGCCUUCCUAUCUCUUGUUUCUCAUUGAUCAAGGUUGAUGCCACAAAGAACUCACUCCCCUACAUUUCAGCAGUCAGAGUGGAGGGUCAACCUCGUGUGGAUGGACCUCUGAUCAAGAAAGAGAAAGGAGUUACUAUUAUGGCUCAUUUGGUUAAUGAACCCGACUUAUAUCCAUGAGGACACGGGUUCGAUCCCUGGCCGUGCUCAAUGGGUUAAAGAUCCGGCAUUGCCAUGAGCUGUUGCGGACGCGGCUCAGAUCUGGUGUUGCUGUGGUUAUGGCGUAGGCUGGAAGCUGCAAGCUCCAAUUGGACCCCUAGCCUGGGAACAUCCAUGUGCCAUGGGUGUGGCCCUAAAAAGCCCCCCCCCCCAAAAAAAAAAAGAAAAGAAAGAGAAAGAAGGCACCAGUCAGGAAUCUGAGAAAACAUUCGAGGUUUAUCUCUAGUGUAUGUGCUAACAAUUCUUGUAAACAUCAUGUUGCUUUUUUUAGAGUUUUGUUAUUUUUAUUUGAAAAAAAAUGUAUUGAGAUAAAAUUCACGUAACAGAAUGCAUCAUUUAAAAAUAAUACAAUUCAGUGGGAUUUUUUGUUUGUUCAUAAUAGUGUGCAACCAUCACCUAGUCUAGAAUAUUUCCAUCACACAAAAAAGAAAUCUUGCACUCAUUAGUGGUCACUCCCAUCUCCCUCCUCUCCCCACUCCCUAGCAACUACUAAGUACCUUCUGUCUUUAUGGAUUUGCCUACUGGGGACAUUUCACGUAAAUGGAAUCAUACAACAUACAGCUUGUGUCUGACUACUUUCACUUUAGUAUAGCGUUGUUAAGGUUCAUCCAUGUUGUAGCGUGAAACAGUACAUCAUUCCUUUUAUGGCUGAAUAAUAUUUUGUUGUAUGGAUAUACCACUCAUCAGUUGGUAGACAUUUGGAGUGGAAUUGCUAGGUCUUAUGGUAACUAUGUUUAACUUUUUGAAGAACUGCCAAACAGUUUUCGACUGUGGCCAUACCAUUUUGCAUUCCCAUCUGAAAAAUUGCUCCACAUCCUCACCAACACCUACUUUCACUGCUUUUUCUUUUUUCUUUUUUUUUUUUUUAAAUUUUAGCCAUCCUAGUGAGUGUAAAGUGCACUGUGGUUUUGAUGUUCAUUUCCCAAGUGACUAAUGAUGGUGAACAUUUUUCAUGUGCUUACUGGUCAUUUGUAUAUCUUCUUUGCAGUAAUGCCUAUUCAAAUUCUUUGCUCAUUUUAAAAAUUGAGUUAUUGGCUUUUUAUUGUGGAGUUGUAAGAGUUCUUUCUAUGUGCUGGACUCUGGACUCUUUUCAGAUAUAUGACUUGCAGAUGUUUUCUCCCUUUCUCUGUGCUGACUUUUGAGUUUCUCCAUGAUAGAUGAGGCCUACACAUUGCUUUUUAUAAAGAGAGAUUU
rnacentral:lncRNA from 9 species